GACGAACGCUGGCGGCAUGCCUAAUACAUUCAAGUCGAACGAGCUUCCGUUGAAUGACGUGCUUGCACUGAUUUUAACAAUGAAGCGAGUGGCGAACUGGUGAGUAACACGUGGGGAAUCUGCCCAGAAGCAGGGGAUAACACUUGGAAACAGGUGCUAAUACCGUAGUAACAACAAAAUCCACAUGGAUUUUGUUUGAAAGGUGGCUUCGGCUAUCACUU
rnacentral:rRNA from 1 species